GCGGAGGGCCGGAUGGCCGCGGCAUCCCCCAAAGGGGUGACGAGGAAAGUCCGGACUCCACAAGACAACGGUGCCGGGUAACGCCCGGCUGGGGUAACCCAAGGGAAAGCGCCACAGAGAAGAAACCGCCCGUCGCACCUGCGGUUCGCCAAGGGAGACUGCGCACGGGUAAGGGUGAAACGGUGGGGUAAGAGCCCACCGCGGGACGGGCAACCGGACCGGCACGGCAAGCCCCACCGGGAGCAAUGCCAAAUAGGGACCGCGCGUGGGGACAGGUCGGGCAACCGAUACCGCCCGCAGGCACGUCUUGGCCCGGCGGUCCGGGUUGGCAGCUAGAGGGGCGUUGGCAACAACGUCUCAAGAGGAAUGGUCAUCCAACCCCGGAUCACGGUCCGGGGUGGACAGAAUCCGGCUUAUAGGCCCUCCGCGCGC
rnacentral:RNase_P_RNA from 15 species